ACGCACAGGCUAAACAUCGGCUCUGGAGGAAUUGCAUAGAUCUCAUUAAUUCAGUUUUGAAACCCAGUUACUUUAAAUUGUGCCAUGCCCUGGCUGGAGCUUACUUCCAUUCUCAUCUGUAGUACACUGAUUUAGCUUGGUAAAAGCUCUAAUUAGUGUGUCAGCUGGUGCAAAGCAAAGGCUGAGCACAGGGAUGCCAAAAAUGGUGGGAGACAGUGAAUACAUUUGGGUAUAGAGGAAGGAGAGAGUCAGACCUCUGGAGGAAAUUGAGUGGGAGGACAGGGAGAUCCAUGAGAAAACCCAGGGAGAAAGAGUCUAGGGGUGUCAUCUUUAUCCCCUGACUGUCUGUGGCACAUCAGUCCUCUCCCUGCUUGUCCUCACUUCCCAAAUCAGCGGAGAGCAGCCUUGUUUACCUCGUCUACCUUGCCAUCUACCAAGGACACGUCUGCAGCAGAAGCCAUGCCAAACAGGGAGAAGAGGCUCCUGUGGCCGUCCCACAUGGGCCAUCUGGCUAUUCUGAUAUUCUCAUCUUGCCUUUUAGGCCUUAUCAUUUUGAAAUUAGCUCUUGGGAUUGAAUUUAACAUUCUUAUUUUCAAGAAAGUAAGCAAGCAAAAAGACAAGGUUUUAGUUUUCAUUUUUAUUGUUGUUUCCAGUCCAGCUCUUUAAUGCUAUUUUUAGAAUCCUGUGCUUCAAUGCUGUGGUAUGAAUUACUGGGAUUUCCCUUUGCUAACAUAAAAUAGAUGAUCUGCACUUUGGUAUUAGCAGUUAGCCAGGAAGUCCAUGACUGGUGCCAAAACUGGGCCUUCUUUCAUAAAUCCUCAUUUGUUUCAUUUCCUUUUGCAGUAAUGACAUGUCAGAUCAGCUGCAUUGGUUUCUUGAGAUAUUAUGUAGUGCCAUAUAACAUGACAGGCUUAACUGGAAAUGAGAGACAAGAUUUGUCUCUAUUUGAUUUACUGAUGAUACAUACAGCUGGGAAAUGCUGGUUUUCAAGAAAUCAGGAAUGGGAGUAUUUUCUGAUCCUUGUAAAGGAGAACUGGCAGAAGGCAGUCAUUCUGCAGGGAUCUUUAAAUCUUUGAAAACAUAAAUGAUGACUCUUGUAUGUCUAAUUACCUUUAACACCUUGACAGAAUUAUCGUUUAUUGAUCAUACAUUUAUUGCAAGGCAAGAAACCCAUACCAAAAUAGGCUGAAAUGAACUGAAGGAUCUGGAUCUCUGGAUCUCUGGAUCCAGAUCCUCUUCCAGGUCUGCCACUGUCUGAGCAACCCAUCUCUGUUUUGCUGUGAAAUGUGAAUUGUUCUGUUGUUCCACUUUUUGUGUAGCUUGUGAAGGAAAAAGGUUCUGGGCAAAAAACUUGUAAUUAUGCUUCUCUCUGGACCAGAGCUCCAAAACACUCUAAUUGCUAAUGUGGCUGGUGUCUUCCUCUCAGCCUCUAAGCCAGGAAGGUAGUAAGGAUUACAUGAAGCCAUUUUUAAACUUCUAUUUUUAAGAGCUCUGAAAGGUGACACCUAAAUGCUAGUCACUGCCAUCCUUAAAAUAAAGAAAAUGGCAGCUCCGGGCACUUUGACAUUCAUGGUUGGCAGGGAGCACAGGCAGUGCUGGGAAUGCAGAGCAGCAGCAUGCAUGGCAUGGCAUCACUCUGUAGAGCUUGCUUUCAGCCAGGUAAAGGCUCUCAGUGCACCACACCAGUUCCCUGGCACAGUGCCCUCAGAGUGCCUCUCAAAAAUACAGCUGUGCAGAUGUGGUCCAGCAAGGACUGUGACAGCCAGUUCCUGGAACAGGCCAAAAGGGCUGCCGUUAUCUCACUGGGAUGAACAUCCUUCUCAGGGGGACAAAGGUCAGCAGAGCUGUUCAGAGCAGCCCUCUGCUCUGUGCUCAAGGGGAAGAGCUCACCAUGCUGGGAUUUCUGGGGUAACCUGUUAAUCAAAGCAAAUCAAACCAGGCAAUUUGUGUACCACUGAAAAUGCAUGCAGAGUGUGAGGCAGCAGCCUAUGAACAGAUUAUUACAGACCUAAACUCAUCUCACAUGCAGAUCCCCAGAGGCUAAUGAAGUUCCAGCCAAUACGCUGGCACAAAUGCCCGAGCACUCCUUAAUGCACUGUGCUGCAGCACGAUAAUGUACAGGAAUGUGCACAUAAAUAAGCAGGUCAUGGGAAGCAGCAACAGAAAGAAAGGCACAAAUGCAGCAAUAGCAGCAGGUAUUGUGCUUGGUUUACUCCUCUGCAGUUUGGCCUGCAGUGAUGUGCUCUACCUGCAGCUCUGUAUCAUUGAGCUUUAUGCCCAGAGCCUCACGUAAGGAUUUUCCCAUGGCGUGCUAUGAGCCACAAGUCAGGCUGGAGGUAACGGUGAGCUUGGCCUCACUUGCUUUGUUGUUCUAAAGCUAACCACUUCAGGCUCAGCAGGCACCAUGGGGAGCAAGGGCUUUAAGUUGCUAGAAGACAUUCGAUAACCUUCCAGAUGUGGAUAAAGAUUAUGGUUAGGAACAUGUUAUACUCAUUCCUGGACUGCUGAGUACUAGACUGUAUUUACUUGGAAGGCUGUAUUCCCACAGGCAGGCUUGUAUUAGGAGACACGUCCUCUUGAUGCCACUGCUGUCCCAGACUGUGAGAGGUCCACAUCCCAUCCCUGCAUUUCCCUUGAAGGUCACAUGCUUCCAGGAUUUCCUGUACAGGCAGUGCCAGGCUGCUUUUCUCACCCCAUCCCCAGUCCUGGGCUUAGUCACUUCCAGCCACCAGUUCUGCUUCCUGCCCUGCUGCUGCUGAGGCCUCUUCCAGUUGUGAAACCAGUGGUUAACUUCCAUGACUGGCAGUGAGCAAGCCUGCCCAUCCCACUGCCACACACAGGCUGCUCGCCUGAGGCAGGCUUGGCUCUGCUAAUGCCUGCAACACGCCUGGGAGAAGCAGCAAUAUUUGAUAGCAGAGAAGUUGCACAAGAAAGCAGCAGUCACUUGCCUAGGAUGUCUGAGAAAUAGAAAUUGAAUGCAGACCUCCCACAGUCAAGGACUCUGCUUCUACCUACCAUAAAUCCUCUUCUUGUAAUCAGGAAAAGUUGUUCCAUGAGAAGAGAUACUUCUCAAUGCAGAAAGCAUCCCCUGUGCUGUGUGCUUUGUUGUUUUUUUUGUGUUUUGUUUUUUUUUUUUCCCAGCUCCCAUCCUGCCCACUUCAGGAAUAGUGCAUCUCACAAAAGUCAGGCAUUUUUAGUGAAGGGUGCUCAUCUGUAAAAUAAACAGGGGCCAGAAUUCAGCAUUAAAACAAAACCUCCACCCCUUUAGUACCACUGAUAACUGGACUUUCCACAAGCACAAAGUUUAUGAAACUGGGGCAACAGCUCAGGCAAACCACCACCCAGGCAGCAGGGAAGAAAAACACUGACUGUGAAAGGAACCUGCUAACCAUAGGAUGCAAGAUUUGUUCUUCUUGGCUUUCCUGUGGCUAAGAACAUGACUAAUCCCCUGUGACAGCCCCAUGCUUGGAGCCUGCUGCUCUUACUGGUGCAGCUGGGGACUCUGUUGCUUUUCACCAUCACAAUUUGAAAUGAAAACUCUUUUGCAAUGAAAUUGUUUCUGCAGUGAAAUGGAGGAUCACUAAAGCACUUGCCACAACCACUGGGAAUAAAUUUACUUUUAUUUUA